AGGAUGCUCCUGAGCUCAAUUUUGAGUCUCAUAUCAAAAGGUACGUCCAUGAUAAGCAGUGUGUUUCUGCCACGGGAUAUUACUGUUUCAGUGUCUACCUCAUUCUUACCGCAGGAUUGAAAUGGCAAAUGAUGCCCUCCCUGAGAAUGCUUGUCGUUAUUGGAAGAUCACCAAUGCUAAUGUGAAUGUGGAGGAGGUGACUAGACUAGAGAUGAUUCUGUGGACUUAGCGUAAUGUUUCAUUCUCAGUUGUCUCCUUUUGGUAGCAGUGGACAAAAACCUGUUACGAUCUAAGAAUGAUUUGCAGCUAACGGAUUACUAAUGUAAUUUUCAUCAUACAGUUGAAGUCAGAAGUUUACAUACACUUAGGUUGGAGUCAUUAAAACUCAUUUUUCAACCACUCCACAAAUUUCUUGUUAACAAACUAUAGAAUAUUUAACUUAUAAUUCACUGUAUCACAAUUCCAGUGGGUCAGAAGUUUACAUACACUAAGUUGACUGUCUUUGGGACCCACCCUCUACACUAUUUGCUUGACAUCAUGGGAAAAUAAAAUCAGCCAAGAACUCAGAAAAAAAAUUGUAGACCUCCACAAGUCAGGUUCAUCCUUGGGAGCAAUUUCCAAACGCCUGAAGGUACCACGUUCAUCUGUACAAACAAUAGUGAUUUUAACAUGUAUUAACUCAGGACUGUGAAUACGUAUGUAAAUGUAUUUCUAAACACGUGUUUUCACUAUGGGUUAUUGUGUGUAAAUGGGUGAGAAAUAUAUUUUAUUUAAUUUUGAAUUCAGGCUGUAACAAAACAUUUUUUUUAAUAAGUCAAGGUGUAUGAAUACUUUUUGAAGGCAUUGUAUCUAGUUCACUUAUUUGUUUUUUCCCCCUCAUAAGACUGGACAAAUUCAAAGAAUUUACAGAGGAAGAACAAGAGAGAGAGAAAGUUAGAGGAACAAAGAUAAUACCCCCCAAAAUGCUCCCCUCUCACAAUUACCAUUAACAGAGGAGGUUAGCAUUUUUGCAGGGGUAUGAACUUUGUUUUUCUGUAACUUUCAUAGUCUUUAUUAUUCACGAUUCAUACAUAAUUAUCCACAAUCAUGGAAGCAUCCACGUUAAUGUAGUGUUCUGAAACAUCUAUUAUUUACAAUAAAUGUGACUCCAAAAUGACAAUACAUUAUUCACUAUUCAGUUCCUAUUGGGUGAAAGGUAAUCUGAAACACAACCAAAACAAACUGCAAAUCCAUCCAACAAGUACAGUCGUAUGAAAAUGUUUGGGCACCCCUCUGAGGCUGCAUAAUAAUUUACUCUGUCGUCACAGAAAAUGAUCACAGUGGCAUGCCAUUCAUUUUCUAAUAAAAGCUGAGUACUGGGGUAUUGUCCAGACAAAGAUUUUUAGUGUAGCAAUAUUAAGUUGUAUGAAAUUAAAUCAGAUGUGAAAAAUAGGCUAUGCAAAAA